rnacentral:rRNA from 1 species
GACGAACGCUGGCGGCGUGCCUAAUACAUGCAAGUAGAACGCACAGUUUAUACCGUAGCUUGCUACACCAUAGACUGUGAGUUGCGAACGGGUGAGUAACGCGUAGGUAACCUGCCUGGUAGCGGGGGAUAACUAUUGGAAACGAUAGCUAAUACCGCAUAAUAUUGAUUAUUGCAUGAUAAUUGAUUGAAAGAUGCUAUUGCAUCACUACCAGAUGGACCUGCGUUGUAUUAGCUAGUAGGUGAGGUAACGGCUCACCUAGGCGACGAUACAUAGCCGACCUGAGAGGGUGAUCGGCCACACUGGGACUGAGGCACGGCCCAGACUCCUACGGGAGGCAGCAGUAGGGAAUCUUCGGCAUUGGACGAAAGUCUGACCGGGCAACGCCGCGUGAGUGAAGAAGGUUUUCGGAUCGUAAAGCUCUGUUGUAAGAGAAGAACGGGUGUGAGAGUGGAAAGUUCACACUGUGACGGUAUCUUACCAGAAAGGGACGGCUAACUACGUG